rnacentral:rRNA from 1 species
GACGAACGCUGGCGGCGUGCUUAACACAUGCAAGUCGAACGGACAGGCCCUGCUUUUGUUGGGUGCUCGAGUGGCGAACGGGUGAGUAACACGUGAGUAACCUGCCCUUGACUUUGGGAUAACUUCAGGAAACUGGGGCUAAUACCGGAUAGGAGCUCCUGCUGCAUGGUGGGGGUUGGAAAGUUUCGGCGGUUGGGGAUGGACUCGCGGCUUAUCAGCUUGUUGGUGGGGUAGUGGCUUACCAAGGCUUUGACGGGUAGCCGGCCUGAGAGGGUGACCGGCCACCAUGGGACUGAGAGACGGACCAGACGGCUACGGGAGGCAGUAGGGGGGAAUAUGGCACAAUGGGCGGAAGCCUGAUGCAGCAACGCCGCGUGCGGGAUGACGGCCUUCGGGUUGUAAACCGCUUUCGCCUGUGACGAAGCGUGAGUGACGGUAAUGGGUAAAGAAGCAACGGCUAACUACGUG